ACAUUUUUAGUUUAACCUGGAUAAAACUUCAAUCUUCUAAAUUGACAAUGUGAGUUCAAAUCUUACAAAAUGUG
rnacentral:tRNA from 1 species